rnacentral:rRNA from 1 species
GACGAACGCUGGCGGCGUGCCUAAUACAUGCAAGUCGAGCGAAGUUUUUCUGGUGCUUGCACUAGAAAAACUUAGCGGCGAACGGGUGAGUAACACGUAAAGAACCUGCCUCAUAGACUGGGACAACUAUUGGAAACGAUAGCUAAUACCGGAUAACAGCAUUAACUGCAUGGUUGAUGUUUAAAAGUUGGUUUUGCUAACACUAUGAGAUGGCUUUGCGGUGCAUUAGCUAGUUGGUGGGGUAAAGGCCUACCAAGGCGACGAUGCAUAGCCGACCUGAGAGGGUGAUCGGCCACACUGGGACUGAGACACGGCCCAGACUCCUACGGGAGGCAGCAGUAGGGAAUCUUCCGCAAUGGGCGAAAGCCUGACGGAGCAACGCCGCGUGAGUGAAGAAGGAUUUCGGUUCGUAAAGCUCUGUCGUUAGGGAAGAAUGAUUGUGUAGUAACUAUACACAGUAGAGACGGUACCUAACCAGAAAGCCACGGCUAACUACGUG